UGUAGUCUUAAUGAUGAUGCAUACAUAUCAACUAUGGGUGUUGGGUCCAACAAUUCGCAUUGGUCUCAAACCAAUGACAUCCAUUUGGAAGACCAUGAGUUUGAGGUGGACAAGGAGGGUGAGGGCAUUGUCGACGCGCCGAAAGGAAGAGCGGGCAAUUACAGCACCAACAAUGACAAGUUACUAUGCAAUACUUAUUUGCAAGUGUCGAGGGAUCCAUCCAUUGGAGGUGAUCAAAGUAGAGAUGCGUAUUGGGGGCGAAUGAAAGAAUACUUUGAUGAUCACAACAUGAGUGGAAUUGACCGCUCCGAGAGAUCACUUCAGUCCCGAUGA
rnacentral:rRNA from 1 species